rnacentral:tRNA from 1 species
GCGACACUAGCUCAGCUGGCAGAGCGCAACCUUGCCAAGGUUGAGGUCACGAGUUCGAACCUCGUGUGUCGCUCCA